rnacentral:lncRNA from 1 species
CUCCGUCGCGGAGGCCUCACUUGGGGGAGAAGGUGGGUUCGACUCUUUUCCGAAAGGACGCUGCGUUUUUGCGCUGUCGCCCGUCCCCUCCCGGGCUCCGCGCAGGCCAAGGGCGCCCUCUGGCGACGGGGCCCGGCGUCGGCCCGGUGUCGGCCCGGGGCUGCCUCGGCCUUCUCUUCUUCCAGCCGGUCAGACAGAGCGCCAUCAGCAAGCGCCUCUAGCCGGCUACCAAAUGUAUUCGUAAUAAAGCCACGCUGCCUUGACUCCUGCCUUGCUGCCUUCCGCGCCUCCAGACACUCAGCCAGGAUCGGAGAGUUUGCCUCCUGAAGAUCUUCAGUUCCACAUUCUCCAUCUCACACCUGCAACCCCAGUUCAUCUCCCUCUGGACUGCUCCAGCAGCCUCCCAAACCUUCUUCCCUUUAACUCCACUGCAGACAGAGUUACCUCCCAAAAAACGCAUCUCAUCAAGCAAAUCCCCUGUUAAAAUCCUUUAAUGGCUCUCGUUA